GUGCAGACCUUCCAGCGAGGCUCAGCCUGCAGUGGCUCUGAUCUUUCCUAUAGUGUCUGCUAGAGAGAUGAGAGGCCGUUUGAGGCCCUGCUGUGACUCCUUACAGCAGGGUUAUAGGUAAACCUCCAACAUGU